CUUUUCGUCAUUUAAUAAUCGCGAUUGGCACACCUGCCGCUCCAAUAUUCAGAAAUAUAGGCAGAUGCAGCGCCGGUUGUGGUGAUGUGUGU